CCUAAAAUGAAACUACCUUUCUAGUUCCUGGGGCAACCGCCUUCACAUCCUGUGCAAUCUCUGAAAGUCUAGGGCCAGAGGCGACCGCAGCUGCAGUUCCUCAUUCAUCCCUGUGCUUCCUGCUCAACCAGCGUGGGAGGAAACUUGGUUUUCGCUUUUCCACAUAGUCCCAAGGAUUUGCAAACUAACUACCACAGUUUCUGGCAUAUGAUAAACCCGUAUUUAACAGACAAAUCUUAGAAUGAAGCAAAUAGGAAAAUUUACCUACCACACUUCACUCAAGCUCCUAAUUUGUGAGGGGCAGAAAGAGAGGAAGGGAGCAAGGUUCCCAGCAGCACGAGCCAGGGAAGAGCUGAACAGACCAGAAACGAAGAUUCGAAUGCUCCUGCUAUGCAGCCAUUACUCUCUGGUACCAUUUUUAAGCAGUGACCCCAAAGGCAUUUGCAAGUUACAACAUGCAUCAGGAUGUACUUUACACAUCUUUACUUGAGGUCACUUCCCUUAGCUAAAAGCAGAAAUAUCAGAUAGCUGCUACAGGAUCAGGAAAUGGGACUAAGCAGAUGUGCACAAGAUAGAUUACUCUUUAUGUACCCCAGAGAAUCGCAUUGACAAUGUAUUAAAACUAAAUUAUCUUUAAAAUGAGUAUGAUUAAUAGUAACCUACCGAGCAAGCCUGGAUUUCUAUGGAAUAGAGAAGUUACAAAGGCUUUGUUUGCCUUGUGGUUGGUGUCCAGAUACCCUCAUGGUAAAAUUAUCAACAUGUGAUAGCAGGACUCCUUAGAGUUAGGAAUGAUCAAUAGGUGAAUAUGGCUUUUCACAGGACUAGUUCAAAGUCUUUCAACCCAUAUUAGAAGGUGAUGGACCAGCUUAUGUUGCAAUUAACCACGUGACAGUUCUUGUCCUUUGUUUCUGGGAAGAGUGGUACCAGAUCAUGACAUUUUUCCUGGAUCUGGAAAUAGAGGUUUCAAAUAGAUACCCAUGAUGCAGACCUGCCAAUGUGGAAAGCUUAAUAUUUAUUAUCAGCCCCACACUCACACUCUUCCUUUUUUUUUUUUUUUACCACACCAAUAGCUUCUCAAAAAGUGAAAUUUCAACAAGGUAAUGAUUCUAUUGUUUUAUAUAUCUUUUCUCCAAACCUCAAGAGUGAUUACAAAGCAACGAAUGAUACAUUUUAUUUAUUUAAAUAGCUAAAAUGCACAGCAAAAUGCAUCUUCAUAGAUGGAAAGUGAAAAUAUUAUGUUUUAUUUACAUAGUGGCAAAUAUUUAAAUAACAGAAAGUUUCAAAGUUUUUGGAAUCAUAUAGACAUAGACAUUAUCUGGAACACAUUUUUAACUAUGCAAAGGAAAUCGCUAUACUAAGUACAGUAUCUUCAGGAUUAUUUGUUAUUUAGAUUUUUAAAUAGAUACACUCUUUUCUAGGAUGUAUCACAUAUAAAUUAGUAAUUUAUAAUCGUUGAAUUUUCCAUGUUAAAGAAAUACUGACCAAAAAAUAUGUUUUUGAUUAUGUUGUUAAUUAUGAUGGUAACUUCAGUAAUAAUACUUUGCAUUUGUAUAGCACUUUAUGUAUAUAUUUUACUAAUUUACUAAUUUAAAAGUUUAUAAUUUUAAAGCACUUUUUGUGCUUAUUAUUUUUUCUUCUAAUUGACACACUAUAGCUAGAACAAGAAUUACUUCUAUAUUACAGCUAGUGAACUUAAGGCCUCAAAUCGAGUACUUGAGAGAACUUGUAUUUAAACACAGAUUCACCAAUUUCAAGAGAAAUAUAUGUUUUUGUAACUCCUGGUAGGAAAUGGAGAAUAGUUCGGUGUAUUUCUGGAGGCAAAAUCAUAAUCUAGGCUACUUGGAUGAUGGCAUUUUAAAGGGGUUAGUAGAUAUACAUCUUCCAUUUUGCACCGGUCUAGUUGAUAGAAGCAGGUGGUCCAUCACCAGGCACAGUUUGGCAGUUCAGGUUGCUACCUAGCCCCCUUUUGCCUCCCAGACAUUUCAUAUUCCAUGUGGUCAAAAGUGGAAGAAAAAUUUUUAUUUUAGGCAAUGCAUAUUAUUCAUUAUUUGGAGCCCACAUAAAUAGACUUUUGAUUAGUGACUAGUAUGAGAAGCAAGAAAGAUAAAUUGCAAUGUGAUAAGCAAGUAUUUGCUAAGCCAAUGAGUGAAUUUUUGUGAAAAUACAAACUUUAAGUGCCAUAUUGAAAAGGAAGAAUAAAAACCUAUUGAAAUCUAGAAUCA
ensembl:lncRNA